rnacentral:rRNA from 1 species
AAAUUGAAGAGUUUGAUCAUGGCUCAGAUUGAACGCUGGCGGCAGGCCUAACACAUGCAAGUCGAACGGUAACAGGAAGAAGCUUGCUUCUUUGCUGACGAGUGGCGGACGGGUGAGUAAUGUCUGGGAAACUGCCUGAUGGAGGGGGAUAACUACUGGAAACGGUAGCUAAUACCGCAUAACGUCGCAAGACCAAAGAGGGGGACCUUCGGGCCUCUUGCCAUCGGAUGUGCCCAGAUGGGAUUAGCUAGUAGGUGGGGUAACGGCUCACCUAGGCGACGAUCCCUAGCUGGUCUGAGAGGAUGACCAGCCACACUGGAACUGAGACACGGUCCAGACUCCUACGGGAGGCAGCAGUGGGGAAUAUUGCACAAUGGGCGCAAGCCUGAUGCAGCCAUGCCGCGUGUAUGAAGAAGGCCUUCGGGUUGUAAAGUACUUUCAGCGGGGAGGAAGGGAGUAAAGUUAAUACCUUUGCUCAUUGACGUUACCCGCAGAAGAAGCACCGGCUAACUCCGUGCCAGCAGCCGCGGUAAUACGGAGGGUGCAAGCGUUAAUCGGAAUUACUGGGCGUAAAGCGCACGCAGGCGGUUUGUUAAGUCAGAUGUGAAAUCCCCGGGCUCAACCUGGGAACUGCAUCUGAUACUGGCAAGCUUGAGUCUCGUAGAGGGGGGUAGAAUUCCAGGUGUAGCGGUGAAAUGCGUAGAGAUCUGGAGGAAUACCGGUGGCGAAGGCGGCCCCCUGGACGAAGACUGACGCUCAGGUGCGAAAGCGUGGGGAGCAAACAGGAUUAGAUACCCCGGUAGUCCACGCCGUAAAACGAUGUCGACUUGGAGGUUGUGCCCUUGAGGCGUGGCUUCCGGAGCUAACGCGUUAAGUCGACCGCCCCGGGGAGUACGGCCGCAAGGUUAAAACUCAAAUGAAUUGACGGGGGCCCGCACAAGCGGUGGAGCAUGUGGUUUAAUUCGAUGCAACGCGAAGAACCUUACCUGGUCUUGACAUCCACAGAACUUUCCAGAGAUGGAUUGGUGCCUUCGGGAACUGUGAGACAGGUGCUGCAUGGCUGUCGUCAGCUCGUGUUGUGAAAUGUUGGGUUAAGUCCCGCAACGAGCGCAACCCUUAUCCUUUGUUGCCAGCGGUCCGGCCGGGAACUCAAAGGAGACUGCCAGUGAUAAACUGGAGGAAGGUGGGGAUGACGUCAAGUCAUCAUGGCCCUUACGACCGGUGGCUACACACGUGCUACAAUGGCGCAUACAAAGAGAAGCGACCUCGCGAGAGCAAGCGGACCUCAUAAAGUGCGUCGUAGUCCGGAUUGAGUCUGCAACUCGACUCCAUGAAGUCGGAAUCGCUAGUAAUCGUGGAUCAGAAUGCCACGGUGAAUACGUUCCCGGCCUUGUACACACCGCCCGUCACACCAUGGGAGUGGGUUGCAAAAGAAGUAGGUAGCUUAACCUUCGGGAGGGCGCUUACCACUUUGUGAUUCAUGACUGGGGUGAAGUCGUAACAAGGUAACCGUAGGGGAACCUGCGGUUGGAUCACCUCCUUACCUUAAAGAAGC